CGGUUAAGUUAGAAAGGGCGCACGGUGGAUGCCUUGGCACUAGGAGCCGAUGAAGGACGGGACGAACACCGAUAUGCUUCGGGGAGCUGUAAGCAAGCUUUGAUCCGGAGAUUUCCGAAUGGGGAAACCCACCACUCGUAAUGGAGUGGUAUCCAUAUCUGAAUACAUAG
rnacentral:rRNA from 1 species